ACCCCCUACACCCCCUACACCCCCCACACCCCCAGCCCUUCUCAGUCUUACCAUGCAUCCCCCCACCCCACAACCAACCCAGCUGUUAUGCCCCCUCUUUUCAGACUCUGGCCAUCAUCUCGUUGUCUUAAAGAAGGAAUCUUUGGAAUAUGAAUAUAUAUAUAUAGGAAUGCCUGUAUCUAUUAUGAAUACUGAGGCAUUCAAAUACAAAUAUUACGUUUUUAUUUUCAGGGUGUAGUAUCUCAGUAAUUGUAUUGCAUGAUACAUAAUGAACCAUGUCCCUAUUAUUUAGUAUUCUGGUAGUUGGAUUACUGCGUAGAUUGAACCCUGAGUUGGGAAUAUUCGACAGUACCUCAUGCUUGUCCAAUGUGGAUUCCAGGUAAACUAGGUCCUCAGUACCCAUGUAUUCCAGUGGGGAUUCCAGGUAAACUAGGUCCUCCGUACCCCAUGUACUCCAGGUAAACUAGGUCCUCCGUACCCCAUGUAUUCCAGUGGGGAUUCCAGGUAAACUAGGUCCUCAGUACCCCAUGUAUUCCAGGUAAACUAGGUCCUCAGUACCCCAUGUAUUCCAGGUAAACUAGGUCCUCCGUACCCCAUGUAUUCCAGUGGGGAUUCCAGGUAAACUAGGUCCUCAGUACCCAUAUAUUCCAGUAGGGAUUCCAGGUAAACUAGGUCCUCCGUACCCCAUGUAUUCCAGUGGGGAUUCCAGGUAAACUAGGUCCUCAGUACCCCAUGUAUUCCAGGUAAACUAGGUCCUCCGUACCCCAUGUAUUCCAGUGGGGAUUCCAGGUAAACUAGGUCCUCAGUACCCAUAUAUUCCAGUAGGGAUUCCAGGUAAACUAGGUCCUCCGUACCCCAUGUAUUCCAGUGGGGAUUCCAGGUAAACUAGGUCCUCCGUACCCCAUGUAUUCCAGGUAAACUAGGUCCUCCGUACCCCAUGUAUUCCAGUGGGGAUUCCAGGUAAACUAGGUCCUCCGUACCCCAUGUAUUCCAGUGGGGAUUCCAGGUAAACUAGGUCCUCCGUACCCCAUGUAUUCCAGUGGGGAUUCCAGGUAAACUAGGUCCUCCGUACCCCAUGUAUUCCAGUGGGGAUUCCAGGUAAACUAGGUCCUCAGUACCCCAUGUAUUCCAGGUAAACUAGGUCCUCCGUACCCCAUGUAUUCCAGUGGGGAUUCCAGGUAAACUAGGUCCUCAGUACCCAUAUAUUCCAGUAGGGAUUCCAGGUAAACUAGGUCCUCCGUACCCCAUGUAUUCCAGUGGGGAUUCCAGGUAAACUAGGUCCUCCGUACCCCAUGUAUUCCAGUGGGGAUUCCAGGUAAACUAGGUCCUCAGUACCCCAUGUAUUCCAGUGGGGAUUCCAGGUAAACUAGGUCCUCAGUACCCCAUGUAUUCCAGGUAAACUAGGUCCUCCGUACCCCAUGUAUUCCAGUGGGGAUUCCAGGUAAACUAGGUCCUCAGUACCCAUAUAUUCCAGUAGGGAUUCCAGGUAAACUAGGUCCUCCGUACCCCAUGUAUUCCAGUGGGGAUUCCAGGUAAACUAGGUCCACUACAAAGAUCAAGUGGUAACAGUGUGUGACCUGGCUGAUUGUGUGUGAUCAUGGCAUAGCAGUCUGGUCAUUCAUCCACUGGUUCGCCGUAUUGCUGACUGCAGGUUGAAUCUAGGUUGAAUAUGGAGUUACCACAACAGCUGUCUGUACAAAGAAAAUGUGUCAUAUUCCUUUGAUGAUCACGAAGAAAAGAAAAGAAAUUAUGAAAUCUCAGAAUCUUAAAAUGAACCAAUUGUUCAUGGAAAACUAUCAAGAUUUGUGAACCUAUUGAUUUUACCAUGUAGCUCACUAUUUUAAUGUUUAUUUAUCAACUGUGUGUUCAGUAAACCUGUUCCUUUUUUACCAGAAUUUUGUUUCAUGUUAUUUAUUUCCUUGCAGGACUAGUUGACAUUUGUUAAUAGAAUCCAUUUAUUUAUGUCCCAUGUUUCUCAGUUUUGGCAGUGUGCACACCCUUUAGGCUACUGAAGUGUUACCCUGUCAGCUUAUGACAAUAGGUCUAGAUGACUUGGUUUUCUUGACAAAUGUUCAAACUGAAUAACUAAAACAAUUGAUUUUAAUGAUUAAAGUAUCUUAUGCAUGUAACGCAUGUUUUAUUUCAGGGAUGUAGAAUGUAUUAUUACCAAGUAUGAUAUGACUACCUGUACCUUUCUAUCCAUGUGUAUCAUGUACCAUUGGCAUGAGGCUGAAUAUACCAGCACAGAUCAUACGAAGCCAAAUUUGCAUUUCCCAUUAUUUUACCUGUCACAGUUGGGUAUGGAAAUUAAUCUCGUCCCCUGCUUCAUGAAUCUUGUUUGCUUCUGGUAUAUGUAAUGUUAAAUGGAUUUAACUUUCUUUGACUAUUGUCAUUAUUUACAAUUGUUUUGUUGUCUUGCUUUUGAAACUGUUUUUUGUAGUUGGUGUUUGAAAUUGUAUUCUGUCUCUUGAUGCUUGAUUUUCAAAUAUUUGAAUAUAUACGAUUGUUGAAUCUUGUAACCUGAUCUUGUGUUAGAGUAAUGUUGUAAAGGGAUCGAUGCUAAUGUCUGAUGUGGCAGGAUGUGAGUGUUACCAUGGCUACAGUUUUCCCUGACUUCCUG
rnacentral:lncRNA from 1 species